AAACUGCGAUAAGUAGUGUGAAUUGCAUUUAGUGAAUCAUCGAAUCUUUGAACGCACCCUGCACUCACUGGUAUUCCGGUGAGUAUGCCUGUUUCAGUAUCAUUGAAAACACACAAUCAAAACAUUUUCUUUGGUUUGAUUGGCUUUGGGUCUAUCAAAAAGUUUGGCUUGUUUCUUACAAGCCAAGCGGCCUGAAAUAUAUUGUCUGGCUAAUUGCAUCGUUGAUGAUCGCUAUUAGACUUUGGCUUUUUUAAAUGAACUGGAGGUUGAUUAACCAGUUUUAGCUUUAGUCAAAUGGUCAUUGUAAAAAAAAUCUCGAUCUUGGCUAGGUGUUUAUAGCCGAAAAUUUUUUUUUGGCUAUAACCGAAACCAAUAUAAUCACAUUUAGUUAUCGAUCUGAAAUCAGGUGGGACUACCCGCUGAACUUAAGC
rnacentral:misc_RNA from 1 species